rnacentral:rRNA from 1 species
GUUUGAUCCUGGCUCAGGACGAACGCUGGCGGCGUGCUUAACACAUGCAAGUCGAACGGUGAACCCUUCGGGGGGAUCAGUGGCGAACGGGUGAGUAACACGUGAGCAACCUGCCCUUGGCUCUGGGACAACCACUGGAAACGGUGGCUAAUACCGGAUACGACCCAUGCAGGCAUCUGUUGUGGGUGGAAAGAUUUUUCGGCUGGGGAUGGGCUCGCGGCCUAUCAGCUUGUUGGUGGGGUAAUGGCCUACCAAGGCGACGACGGGUAGCCGGCCUGAGAGGGUGACCAGCCACACUGGGACUGAGACACGGCCCAGACUCCUACGGGAGGCAGCAGUGGGGAAUAUUGGACAAUGGGCGCAAGCCUGAUCCAGCCAUGCCGCGUGAGUGAUGAAGGCCUUAGGGUUGUAAAGCUCUUUUACCCGGGAUGAUAAUGACAGUACCGGGAGAAUAAGCCCCGGCUAACUCCGUGCCAGCAGCCGCGGUAAUACGAAGGGGGCUAGCGUUGUUCGGAAUUACUGGGCGUAAAGCGCACGUAGGCGGUUUGUUAAGUCAGGGGUGAAAUCCCACAGCUCAACUGUGGAACUGCCUUUGAUACUGGCAAGCUAGAGUCCGGAAGAGGUAAGUGGAACUCCUAGUGUAGAGGUGGAAUUCGUAGAUAUUAGGAAGAACACCAGUGGCGAAGGCGGCUCACUGGCUCGAUACUGACGCUGAGGUGCGAAAGCGUGGGGAGCAAACAGGCUUAGAUACCCUGGUAGUCCACCCCGUAAACGUUGGGAACUAGUUGUGGGGGCCUUUCCACGGUCUCCGUGA